rnacentral:sRNA from 1 species
UAUUGAGGGGCAUAUGUAACAAUACGACA